AGAGAGACAGGCGCGAGGGAGAAGGAAGCUCGCGACAGAGAUGAAAGGGACCUUAGCCAUCACCGUUGGUGUGGUCGGAGUCGCAGUCGUCGUCGUCGACAAUUGAAGGUGCCGCCGUCGUAGUGGAAGAAGCCCAGAGAGAGAGAUGAACAAGGCCCGAAGAGAGUGAGCGUCGCUGCCACCGCCAUUGGAGAUGAACCCAGUUGUUCUCUUGCUGUCGAAGGUAUUGUUGUCACUGCUCUGGCUCAAUUAUGUAUCGUUACUGUCGCUGUUUGGCUAUUGCUGAGGUUUACUACCAUCACUGGAGCUGCCGGGGAACCACCGUGGUUGUUGCCUAGGAAACGGAACGAGUGUGGGGUUUCCUUCCCUGUUCUUCAAACAGGAAGGUGAGAACCCUGUAGAGGAAGCCAAGAAAAGCAACCAUGUCCAAAGAAAAAUCGAGAAACGCUAGAAAGAUCGUAAGCUUUAUCCUCAUGUUGAAGAGCAGUUUGGUGGUGGGAGAUUGCUGCCUUGCAUUGCUUCUCGACCUGAUCAAUGUGGCAGGGAUGACGGCUAUAUUUUGGAAAGUAAAGAGCUUGAAUUUUAUAUGAAGAAAAUCCAGAAGAAGAGAAAAGGUGCUGCCUCUAUUCUCAUACUUGUAUUUUGGAUGGGAUGGAAUAGGUCUUAUAAUGACUUUAGUUAUCUACAUGUAAUAUUUUGAUGUGUUGUGUACUUUUUGAAAAGAGAUUUUAUUUGGUAUUACAUGUAAUGGAAAAAUUACACUCUAUUUUGAUUUAUGUUGUUUAGACUAAAAACAUAUCUUAACUUAUAAUGAAAUUCUUAUGAUUUAAAUUUCUUGAA